AAGUCGUAACAAGGUUUCCGUAGGUGAACCUGCGGAAGGAUCAUUAACACUAAACCCAGUUGAGACCGUACUGUUCGCUUCGCGUUCGGUUGCGUGUCUCUUCUACUAUCCACCCGUGGUCGUGUUCCGUACCUUGGCCCUUGUGGUCGAGGUUGAUCCACUCGGUCGCUGAGUGCUGGUGGCGUGCAGUACCUCGGUACUGUUGCGAAUACAGCCCAGUGAUAAGAGGUCUUAUCGGGGCCUCAAGUCGUAUAGGCUGAGUGGCCUAUUUUUCACCUUUUACUGCAAACUAUACCUGCACUGAAUCCAUAUGCACGCGAAAGCGUGUGUAUGCUUUAUUGGCCUUCACUGCGCCGAUAAAACCAAAUACAACUCGUAGCAAUGGAUAUCUCGGCAAAC
rnacentral:misc_RNA from 1 species